rnacentral:rRNA from 1 species
GAUGAACGCUGGCGGCGUGCUUAACACAUGCAAGUCGAACGAUUAAGACGGCUUCGGCCGUGUAUAGAGUGGCGAACGGGUGAGUAACACGUGACCAACCUGCCCCGCGCUCCGGGACAACCGCUGGAAACGGCGGCUAAUACCGGAUGCUCCGGGGAGGCCCCAUGGCCUCCCCGGGAAAGCCCUGACGGCGCGGGAUGGGGUCGCGGCCCAUUAGGUAGACGGCGGGGUAACGGCCCACCGUGCCCGCGAUGGGUAGCCGGACUGAGAGGUCGACCGGCCACAUUGGGACUGAGAUACGGCCCAGACUCCUACGGGAGGCAGCAGUGGGGAAUUUUGCGCAAUGGGGGCAACCCUGACGCAGCAACGCCGCGUGCGGGACGAAGGCCUUCGGGUUGUAAACCGCUUUCAGCAGGGAAGACAUAGACGGUAC